GACGAACGCUGGCGGCGUGCUUAACACAUGCAAGUCGAACGGUAAGGCCCUUCGGGGUACACGAGUGGCGAACGGGUGAGUAACACGUGGGUGAUCUGCCCUGCACUUCGGGAUAAGCCUGGGAAACUGGGUCUAAUACCGGACAGGACCACUGCCUGCAUGGGUGGUGGUGGAAAGCUUUUGCGGUGUGGGAUGGGCCCGCGGCGUAUCAGCUUGUUGGUGGGGUGAUGGACUACCAAGGCGACGACGGGUAGCCGGCCUGAGAGGGUGACCGGCCACACUGGGACUGAGAUACGGCCCAGACUCCUACGGGAGGCAGCAGUGGGGAAUAUCGCACAAUGGGCGCAAGCCUGAUGCAGCGACGCCGCGUGAGGGAUGACGGCCUUCGGGUUGUAAACCUCUUUCAGCACCGACGAAGCGCAAGUGACGGUAGGUGCAGAAGAAGGACCGGCCAACUACGUGCCAGCAGCCGCCGUAA
rnacentral:rRNA from 1 species